UUACUUCGGUACAUCGGUGACAGGUGGUGCAUGGUUGUCGUCAGCUCGUGUCGUGAGAUGUUGGGUUAAGUCCCGCAACGAGCGCAACCCCUAUUGUUAGUUGCCAUCAUUCAGUUGGGCGCUCUAGCGAGACUGCCGGUAAUAACCGGAGAAGUGGGAUGACGUCAAAUCAUCAUGCCCCUUAUGACCUGGGCUACACACGUGCUACAAUGGUUGGUACAACGAGUUGCGAGUCGGUGACGGCGAGCUAAUCUCUUAAAGCCAAUCUCAGUUCGGAUUGUAGGCUGCAACUCGCCUACAUGAAGUCGGAAUCGCUAGUAAUCGCGGAUCAGCACGCCGCGGUGAAUACGUUCCCGGGCCUU
rnacentral:rRNA from 1 species